rnacentral:rRNA from 1 species
CCUACGGGGUGCAGCAGUGGGGAAUAUUGCGCAAUGGGCGAAAGCCUGACGCAGCGACGCCGCGUGAGGGAUGAAGGUCUUCGGAUCGUAAACCUCUGUCAGCAGGGAAGAACGGUCACUGUGCUAAUCAGCAGUGAAUUGACGGUACCUGCAAAGGAAGCACCGGCUAACUCCGUGCCAGCCGCCGCGGUAAUACGGAGGGUGCGAGCGUUAAUUGGAAUUACUGGGCGUAAAGGGCUCGUAGGCGGUAUGUCAAGUCAAGGGUGAAAUCCCCGGGCUCAACGUGGGAACUGCCUUUGAAACUGGCAAACUGGAGUGUGUGAGAGGAUAGUGGAAUUCCAGGUGUAGGAGUGAAAUCCGUAGAUAUCUGGAGGAACAUCAGUGGCGAAGGCGACUAUCUGGCACAUAACUGACGCUGAGGAGCGAAAGCGUGGGUAGCAAACAGGAUUAGAUACCCCUGUAGUC